CUGCGAAUGGCUCAUUAUAUAAGUUAUCGUUUAUUUGAUAAUACUUUACUACUUGGAUAACCGUGGUAAUUCUAGAGCUAAUACAUGCUAAAAAUCCCGACUUCGGAAGGGUUGUAUUUAUUAGAUUAAAAACCAAUGCCCCUCGGGGCUCUCUGGUGAAUCAUGAUAACUAGUCGAAUCGACAGGCCUUGUGCCGGCGAUGGCUCAUUCAAAUUUCUUCCCUAUCAACUUUCGAUGUUUGGGUCUUGUCCAAACAUGGUGGCAACGGGUAACGGAGGGUUAGGGCUCGACCCCGGAGAAGGAGCCUGAGAAACGGCUACUACAUCCAAGGAAGGCAGCAGGCGCGCAAAUUACCCAAUCCCGACACGGGGAGGUAGUGACAAUAAAUACUGAUACAGGGCUCUUUUGGGUCUUGUAAUCGGAAUGAGUACAAUUUAAAUCCCUUAACGAGGAACAAUUGGAGGGCAAGUCUGGUGCCAGCAGCCGCGGUAAUUCCAGCUCCAAUAGCGUAUAUUAAAGUUGUUGUGGUUAAAAAGCUCGUAGUUGAACCUUGGGCCUGGCUGGCCGGUCCGCCUCACCGCGUGCACUGGUCCGGCCGGGCCUUUCCCUCUGCGGAACCCCAUGCCCUUCACUGGGUGUGGCGGGGAAACAGGACUUUUACUUUGAAAAAAUUAGAGUGCUCAAGGCAGGCCUAUGCUCGAAUACAUUAGCAUGGAAUAAUAGAAUAGGACGUGUGGUUCUAUUUUGUUGGUUUCUAGGACCGCCGUAAUGAUUAAUAGGGACAGUCGGGGGCAUCAGUAUUCAAUUGUCAGAGGUGAAAUUCUUGGAUUUAUUGAAGACUAACUACUGCGAAAGCAUUUGCCAAGGAUGUUUUCAUUAAUCAGGAACGAAAGUUAGGGGAUCGAAGACGAUCAGAUACCGUCGUAGUCUUAACCAUAAACUAUG
rnacentral:rRNA from 1 species